AAAUAAGUCUGUUACAUGAAAUUGUUUAUAAAAAACAGCAAAAGCUGGAGACAAAUGCAUCACUGAACUCCCCCAAAACUCUGCACAGCUACUAUCUAAUAUCCCAUGGCACCUAAAUUUCUGCCAGUGAGCAUGUGCCCAGCCGCUUCAGUCUAGGUGCCCAGCUCAUGCCUAAGUCCCAGCAGGAUCAUCAAGCUAGUUGGUUUCCUAUCUAUUUUGUCUGCAGAACCCACACAAAAUGGAAGAGGAAGAGGACUCUCUUCUAACCUUUUGUCCAGUGGUUAGGGCACUCACCAGAGAGACAGCACUGGGGAGUUAGAGCGACACAGAAAUAAAUUGGAAGUGAAACUUAAGAGACCAAGCUAAGCAGGAGGCAGAAGAGUCCAGGCAGAAGACAGAUGAGACCAGCCACAAAGAGCAACCCCAAGAGAGGAAAAGGAAACUACCUGCCUAACAUUUAGCAAAAGCUCACUGAAGAGGCAAGGGUGAAAAUGGUCUGAUGAGUUCUACUGCAAAGUCUGUGACAUAGUUCCUGAAAAGCACUGAUUUCUGGAGUUGGGGUUUCAAGGAACGCAGCAACCGGUUUGGGACAUGGUAACCACAGAACAGGCCGAAUGAAGUGAGUCCCAGACUGAAGUUGGGUCAGCUAUUAAAGUCAAUGAGAGUGUUAUGGUACUUCCGCACACUUCCACAGGGUCUGAGAAUCCAUUUGAAUCCCAUGCUGUUAUCAUAAGCAAUUUCUGUUUCCUGUGUUUAAAAGAAUUACAAUUGCACAUUGAAAUAAACAAAAUGUUCAGCUUCAGACUGUGGGACAAGGCAGUGAAAUCUGUUUUUUCCGCACUUCACUGUUCAGCUAGUGGGAUUUAAGUUAAUGUGACCUUGCACAAAACUAGGAUUUUUUUUAAAGGAGUUCAUUAUGCUAAAAGUGUCAUGGUGUAUUCAGGAGUAGAGCUGGCUGGGAAUUUUUCAACAAAAUAUUGUUGAUUUUUGGCCAGAAAAAGCAAAUUCCUCAAAACCUUUUGUGGAAAUGACAAUUUUGAUUCCAUUUCCAUGAGGAAGCUUUCUUAGGCCCCAAUGGAAUAGUAAGAGAGAUCUGCCCCAGAGUAGCCAAAAGUCCAGUGCUAAGGGCAACUCAUCUGGGCUGAGUCAGAACAGGGAUUUGAACCUAGGUCUCCUAUGUCCCAGGUGAGUCCCCUAACGGAUUAUU